UAAAAACAACACCAGCUCAAGAAACAAUAACAAACAAGUCAGAGUCAGUCGGACAGCUGAAGACAAUUACAAUAUUUCAACUCUCUCAGUCUCAGUCUCGGUCUCCGUCUCAGUCGCAGUCCCAGUCGCAGUCUCCAUCUCAGUCACAGAUCUCGGCUCGACUUUCUUUGGUCUCUCUGGCAGAGUUGUUACAUAUUUAACUUUUCGGCUGCCGUCUCAACUGUUUCGGUUUAUUUUUGUCUAUGGACGGGCUCUUCAGGAGUGCAGCGUUGCUAAUGCAAAUCUAAGUUGAUUUCAAAAUGCUGAGAGACGGAGUUGAGUAGAUCGGUUUUUGAGCCGAUCGACGUUGGCGCUGCCAGACUGUUUUUGGAGUGAUGGAUACCUGAGUUGCUGCCACUCGUGCCCCUUCUCUGGAUGCCUCUUUCAGCCUCCCUCUCUCGCUCUUACAUUGUUUUUGCUGCUGCAACAACAGAAAAAAUAGCAACAACCACAGCAAGGAGAAAAAGCACAACAAGCAUGCUGACAACAUCGACUCCAUCGGUCGCUGUGUCGUGUAUUAAAACUUGUUCAUUGGAAUUUUCUAAUAAAUCAAUAAACGCAGACAACACAUGAUUGGAGGCUAUGCCAGGCGCAGCAGUAACAGCAGCACUGACACUUUCACACAAUUGUAAUGCUGGGAAAUUGUAGUUUGGCGACUAGCAGUUCCGUAAAUAAAGCGCAUGGGAAGUGAUAAUUUAACUUUGGCUGGACACAGCAAUUAGCUAAAUGCUAUUAAAGUACUCAAAAAUCGAUGGGUAUUUUACUAGGGUAUUUUACUACCUUUGCAUUAAGGUCCUUUAUAUUACACAACUUUGAUGCGGUAAUAAACGAAAUAGAAGAGAAAUUGCUCUGGCCGAUUUUCUACGAUUGUUGGUACGAUUGUUACCUUACCAGCAACAUUGUUGCCACUAAAUUUUCCAUGUUCCAGCUUGAUAUGCAAAUAAGUUCUAAUAGCUUUCGAUUUGGCCCGCUUUACAUGCGACGAGUCCGUUCGGCACAUUCUAAAUGUAAAUAAAAUGGAAAUUCCUUUGAGUGGCACCAACUCCACUGAUGCUGGAGUAGCAGAAAAAAAGAGAAAAAACUUGUAGAACAGGAGGAGGAACUUGUUGAGAACUUGGCUGCCUUGUUAAACGAGCCUGCAACACCCAGCAGCAGCAGCAGCAGCAGCAACAGCAACAGCAACAAUAAACAAUGUUGCAAUGCUUAAUUAUUUCAGCGGCAAGGAAUUCCUCGGCGCAAACUUGAACUGCUUCUGGAUUGUGGAUGCUGCCUUCGUUACAGCUCUAGCCUGUUGCUACCAGCAGCCUCGCUUAUUGUGGCCAAGCGUUGAGGCAGAGGCAGCAACUCGAUUGCGAUGCCAGCCACUUGAGGUCGUCUGCUGGGCUGCAGUCACGUUGGUCAACGGCACCGCAGCGUCUGUGGCCAAGACCCUUCUUGCUGUUGUUUUUAUUGCUGCUUCUCUUGCUGCCGUAGUCUGCCGCACCUAUUUUUAAUGCACUAAUGCACUGGUCUCGAGCCAGGAGGCAGCCAACUUAGUGCUCAGAGCCGGGCGAAGAGCAGAUUGACAUUAAGCUGAGCACUCGGCAUAUGAACAGAUCAUUACCCAUGAAAAAUGGCAAGUGGGAGGGUGAACUUAUUAUUUCCAUCCCCAUUCCCGGCCAUGCCUAAUUGUUUUAAUGAACAUAAAUAUGUUUAUGGUUCACUGCUGCAAGAUCAUUAUUAUAACUCCGUAGUUUAUACACC